ACGAUAAGCCAUCUUCGGAUGGUGGACAGUGGCAGACGGGUGAGUAACGCGUGGGAAUAUACCCAGAGGUACGGAACAACGCCGGGAAACUGGUGCUAAUACCGUAUACGCCCUUCGGGGGAAAGAUUUAUCGCCUUUGGAUUAGCCCGCGUUAGAUUAGCUUGUUGGUGAGGUAAAAGCUCACCAAGGCGACGAUCUAUAGCUGGUCUGAGAGGAUGAUCAGCCACACUGGGACUGAGACACGGCCCAGACUCCUACGGGAGGCAGCAGUGGGGAAUCUUGCACAAUGGGCGAAAGCCUGAUGCAGCCAUGCCGCGUGAGUGAUGAA
rnacentral:rRNA from 1 species